GAUGAACGCUAGCGGCAGGCCUAAUACAUGCAAGUCGAACGGUGUCUUCGGACAUAGUGGCGCACGGGUGCGUAACACGUAUGCAACCUACCUUACAUUGGGGGAUAGCCUUUCGAAAGGGAGAUUAAUACCGCAUAAGACAGUAGCUGGGCAUCCAGCAGCUGUUAAAGAUUUAUCGAUGUAAGCUGGGCAUGCGUCCAAUUAGCUAGUUGGUGAGGUAACGGCUCACCAAGGCAAUGAUUGGUAGGGGAACUGAGAGGUCAAUCCCCCACACUGGCACUGAGAUACGGGCCAGACUCCUACGGGAGGCAGCAGUAGGGAAUAUUGGGCAAUGGACGCAAGUCUGACCCAGCCAUGCCGCGUGCAGGAUGAAGGCGUUAUGCGUUGUAAACUGCUUUUAUACAGGAAGAAACGACUCUUGCGAGAGGCAUUGACGGUACUGUAUGAAUAAGCACCGGCUAACUACGUGCCAGCAGCCGCGUAAAAC
rnacentral:rRNA from 1 species